rnacentral:rRNA from 1 species
GAUGAACGCUGGCGGCGUGCCUAAUACAUGCAAGUCGAGCGAACGGACGAGAAGCUUGCUUUUCUGAUGUUAGCGGCGGACGGGUGAGUAACACGUGGAUAACCUACCUAUAAGACUGGGAUAACUUCGGGAAACCGGAGCUAAUACCGGAUAAUAUUUUGAACCGCAUGGUUCAAAAGUGAAAGACGGUCUUGCUGUCACUUAUAGAUGGAUCCGCGCUGCAUUAGCUAGUUGGUAAGGUAACGGCUUACCAAGGCAACGAUGCAUAGCCGACCUGAGAGGGUGAUCGGCCACCCUGGAACUGAGACCCGGUCCGGACUCCUACGGGGGGCAGCAGUAGGGAAUCUUCCGAAAGGGGCGAAAGCCUGACGGAGCAACCCCGCGUGAGUGAUGAAGGUUUUCGGAUCGUAAAACUCUGUUUUUGGGGAAAAACAUAUGUGUAAGUAACUGUGCACAUCUGGACGGUACUUAAUAAGAAACCCCCGGCUAACUACG